rnacentral:lncRNA from 1 species
GCGUUUUCAGAUUCAUCACUCGACAACUUCCUGUUUACCGAACACUUGUAUGAUUUUACACAUGAUAGCCAAGUUGAAAAUUUUCGUCACAUUUUUCCCAGGAACUACAAUACAAGGAUUUCUGAAAUUUGGUUUCAGGAUUUUUAUAAGUCAGCUAUACCGUGUGAUGCGUUUUCAGAUUCAUCACUCGACAACUUCCUGUUUACCGAACACUUGCAUAUUUUUACACUAUUAAUAUUAUCCACUUGCGGCGGGGGUAUCAUCAGUG